GAUGUAAAUUAAAUCUGAGAAUUUGACCUUAAAAAUCUGACGUAAAAAAUUCCUUCAACAGAAGGAAAUUUAAUUGCACAAACACUUGGAUCUGGGGAUUUUAAACAAAACAACAGAUCUGGCAUUUCUUCAGUAUACUUUAUGUACAAGUAUUGUAAUACAGGUAUAGAGUAACUACCAUGCAUGAGCAAAACAUUUAACAGAUAAAUAAACAAUCUUUUCUUUGUAGGCCUAUUUAUCAUAUAUUACUAAUUUUCAAAGAAAUAUGUAUACGCAAAUAAACAAAACUGACGUCAGUGCUUGGUUAGAAGGGGUAUAAUUACUCAAAACUCAACAAAGAAAAAAAAAAGACAUAACACAUGCCCCAAGCUCCCAAUCAAAUACCAAAUAUCAUUUAUCAUGAGCUGGAGUCUCUUAGGAGCAGCUAAAGACAGCGUUGUCCAUUGUACAUGAACUAUUACAGAAAAACGCGUACCAGAAUUCCGCAACCUUUUCACAUACGAAAGUGCAAUUUCAGUGCACUGUAUAGACCGUUAUAACUUUUGGAGACAAAUCCACAUUGACUGGGCUGGCCAAUUUCAGAUCAUCUCAAAAAAGUAUAAUUUUAUCAUUCUAGACUCCGGUCACAAGAGCAAUUUUUGACAGUUUGUAAACACAGAAGACACGAUGACGUCAUCACGAUCGCAACCAAGAACUCCAAAAUAAUGGCUUUGCUUUGAAGCCAAAAUGUAAAUGUCAGUAUCUGAAAAGUCCAUAUUUUUAUCCAUAUUACUCAAAAAGUAUAACCAAUUUCCACACGAGGGAAUUACAUGAUAAAUUCCUUUUCAAACUGUGGUGGCAAAAUCCUGGUCCGAUUUCGUAAAACCUGUAAGUGCGGGUUCUAUAGACACCCUUAUUACCAUAAAUGUACAAAAAUGGCGGGAACACAAACUUCUGCUUUCGAGGUUGAACUGAGGACAACAAAUGCCAUAUUUUCUGUGUGAAACAAGAACGAAAAUAGAAGGAAAAAAUUUUUCUAGAUUAGAAAUUGACAUAGAAUUUCGUAAUUUCUACGUUAUCAUCACUACAUUGCUGAAAAAUACUUAAAAUUAUCCCAAAUUUGUACGAACGCCGAUACAACAACAACACUCGUCGAUGAAACGGAUAAAGAAGAACCAUCUGGUCAGCUCACAACCAUCUGGUCUGCUCAAACACAGUAGAAGAACCAUCUGGUCUGCCCACAACAAUCUGGUCUGCUCACACACAGCAGAAGAACCAUCUGGAAGAGAUGAUUUAGUCCACCAAAGAACCAUAUUUAACCCCAAUACAUGCACAAAAGUCUACAGAUGAAAGAAAAAACGAAAAUUACAAGAAAACUACAAUAUUGUCACUCCACACCAGGGUGGACAGCAGUUUAUCCACAACCUCUGCCUCUUUCCAUCCAAGGAUUCCCGAACAGUUUUUCUGAAAAAAAAAAACUGGUUAUCCUUUAUGAUGGAAUUUAUUUGUUUUCAUCCCAC